rnacentral:tRNA from 9 species
GCGGAUGUGGCGGAAUUGGUAUACGCGCACGUUUGAGGGGCGUGUGGCUUUGUCCUUGCGAGUUCGAGUCUCGCCAUCCGCA